AUGCCCGAGCUACAGAUAUUGUGUGGGGAACCUGCUUCGCCUCUGCCGACGGAGCAGCUCAAGUUGGGAUCUCUUCAGGCUUCAGAGGUGGCCCUGGUGCCCUCACCACCCCCCGUGGAGCCUUGUCAAGUGUCAGACGGCCUAUCACUCAGCGUCGUGGAGCAUGGAGUUUCAGAUGUUAUUGCCCUUCCCUCGCCUGUGACCAUCGAGCAAGUGGUGCCUAUAAGUGGUAUGACCAUCGAGUCAAGUGUGUCGGCACCUGCUCCAAAUUCUAAUGCUCUCUUCGCAAAGAAGCUUUGUGACUUGCUUGCCAGCGUGGAUGUUGCUAGACCUGGUUUGGGUAGGUCAAUUGCUUGCCUCCUGACUGGGACGCCAACAAGGAGCAAAUCAAAGAAGGUCGGCAAAGGCAAGAGUGGUGCCAUAGGCAAGACGAAUGUGAUUGCUUGA
rnacentral:rRNA from 1 species